ensembl:lncRNA
CUACCGUGUCUCCAUUCACGCUAGGUGUCCUUAUGAGAUGAGCCACUGUGUUCAGACGCUUGGCGGUAUAUUAGUGUUGACGCUAAUGCUAAUAGGUGUUGUUAUGGCAUACAAGCUAGCGUGUCUCCGUCCACUAACGUGUUUACGUGCUACAGGUGUUGUCAUAGCAUACGAGCUAGCGUGUCUCUGUCCACGCUAGGUGUCGCAGGGGCCCAGCCGGUGCUGAGAGACGCCGAGGUGGAGGAGCUCCAGCGGCGGGAGCGCUCGGAGCAGAUCCAGGGCUACCGGCUGCUGCGGGACACGGUGCUGGAGCACCGCCGGCGGGAGGCGCAGAGCAGGACCGCCCUGAUCCAGGGGCAGCUGGAGAUGUACGACGGCAUGCAGGUCACCCUGCGCGACCAGCGGCAGAAGACCCAGGCGGCCCUCCAGGCGGUCAACGCCCGUCUGAUGGAGGCCGAGCUGGGGGACAAGGGAGAGGAGGGGGGCCUGGAGGAGCAGGCGGGAGCGGCUGCGUCCGUCUCGGCCGCCACGCAGCCCGCCAAGCCCAACAGCGCCGGCAAGAAGUGAAUUCAAACACAUGGAGAAAACAUGGGCCAUUCUCGCUAAUGGACCUCCC